rnacentral:lncRNA from 1 species
GUCGGGGCUCGUCUGCAACAAAACCUCGAGCUCGUCGUUUUAUAUGGUGAUGCCGGCGUUGGGGUGCAAAGAUGAAGUGGAAGAACAUUGAUAGGUGCAUAUUUAUGCGACUUAGUUAGCUUGUUUUCUUGCAUUUUCAUAGUUAGUUUGCGUUUAGUAUAGUGAUUUAAGCUAUUUUCAUUUGUUUGUAGGUCUAAUUGGCAAAGUUGGCAAGAAAGUGUAUUUUGAAGCAUUUUAGAGCAAUUAUGGGCUGAAAUGGAUUGCAUGCAUGUGGAGCACAAUGAAUGGACGUUUUUGAAGAUCAAGUGAAGCUAGGAACGUGCUAAAGAGAUGGAGAAAUCAAUUCAAGACAUGGAAGAUGAAUAAUCAGCUGCAAGGGCACCUAAAACCCUUCUAAAAGGCCUAUCCUUCUCUUAUACAUGUGCCGCACCACCCUUUCUAGAAGCCCUAGAAAGGUGGCACCCCAAACCCUUC